UACGAAGGGGGCUAGCGUUGUUCGGAAUUACUGGGCGUAAAGGGCUCGUAGGCGGCCCACUAAGUCAGACGUGAAAUCCCUCGGCUUAACCGGGGAACUGCGUCUGAUACUGGAGGGCUUGAGUUUGGGAGAGGGAUGCGGAAUUCCAGGUGUAGCGGUGAAAUGCGUAGAUAUCUGGAGGAACACCGGUGGCGAAGGCGGCAUCCUGGACCAACACUGACGCUGAGGAGCGAAAGCCAGGGGAGCAAACGGG
rnacentral:rRNA from 1 species